rnacentral:rRNA from 1 species
AACCUCCGCAAUGUGAGAAAUCGCGACGGGGGGAUCCCAAGUGCCAUUCUUAACGGGAUGGCUUUUCUUAAGUGUAAAAAGCUUUUGGAAUAAGAGCUGGGCAAGACCGGUGCCAGCCGCCGCGGUAACACCGGCAGCUCUAGUGGUAGCUGUUUUUAUUGGGCCUAAAGCGUUCGUAGCCGGUUUGAUAAGUCACUGGUGAAAUCCUGUAGCUUAACUGUGGGAAUUGCUGGAGAUACUAUUAGACUUGAGACCGGGAGAGGUUAGAGGUACUCCCAGGGUAGAGGUGAAAUUCUGUAAUCCUGGGAGGACCGCCUGUUGCGAAGGCGUCUAACUGGAACGGUUCUGACGGUGAGGGACGAAAGUUAGGGGCGCGAACCGGAUUAGAUACCCGGGUAGUCCUAACUGUAAACGAUGCGGACUUGGUGUUGGGUGGCUUUGAGCUGCUCCAGUGCCGAAGGGAAGCUGUUAAGUCCGCCGCCUGGGAAGUACGGUCGCAAGACUGAAACUUAAAGGAAUU